UGGGGAAUAUUGGACAAUGGGGGCAACCCUGAUCCAGCCAUGCCGCGUGGGUGAAGAAGGCCUUAGGGUUGUAAAUCCCUUUCACCGGGGAUGAUAAUGACAGUACCUGGUAAAGAAACCCCGGCUAACUCCGUGCCAGCAGCCGCGGUAAUACGGAGGGGGUUAGCGUUGUUCGGAAUUACUGGGCGUAAAGCGCGCGUAGGCUGACUAUUAAGUCAGGGGUGAAAUCCCGGGGCUCAACCCCGGAACUGCCUUUGAUACUGGUAGUCUAGAGUUCGAGAGAGGUGAGUGGAAUUCCAAGUGUAGAGGUGAAAUUCGUAGAUAUUUGGAGGAACACCAGUGGCGAAGGCGGCUCACUGGCUCGAUACUGACGCUGAGGUGCGAAAGUGUGGGGAGCAAACAGGAUUAGAUACCCCCGUAGUCC
rnacentral:rRNA from 1 species